rnacentral:ncRNA from 1 species
UAAAUAUUUAUGGUUUAAAAAUUUAUUAUAAAUUUAUUUUACAUAUAAAUUUUAGUGUUGAAUUUUAAUUAUUUAAAUAAUAUUUAAAUUAGGAUGUUAAUAGUAAUUAAAAUUAAAAAUUUAAGAAAUUAAGAUUUAGUAAUAUUUAAAUUAAUAACUAAUUUUGUGCCAGCAGUUGCGGUUAUACAAAAAUUAAAUUAAAUUUUUAUUAAUAAUUAAUUAAUAUAAUUAUUUAUAAAAUUAAAUUUUAAAUUAUUAAGUGAAAUUUUAAUUUAUAAAAAUUUUAUAUAAAUUUAUGAAUUAAAAAAUUUUAUAAAAAACUAGGAUUAGAUACCCUAUUAUAAAAAUUUAAAUUAAAAAUAUUAAAGUAGUAAAUAAUUGUUUAUUGAAAUUUAAAUAAUUUGGCGGUAUUUUAGUUUAUUUAGAGGGAUCUGUUUAUUAAUUGAUAAUCCACGAAUAAAUUUACUUAAUUUAUAAAUUUUGUAUAUCGUUGUUAAAAAAAUAUUUUUAAUUAAAAAUAAUAUUUUAAUUUUUUAAUUAAAAAUUAAAUCAGAUCAAGAUGCAGAUUAUAAUUAAGAAUAUAAUGGAUUACAAUAAAUUUAUUUAAAUGAAUAUUAAUUUGGAAUAAUUAAUUGAAGGUGGAUUUAAAUGUAAUUUUAUUUAAUUUAUUAAAAUGAUUUUUAAUUAAAAUAUGUACAUAUUGCCCGUCGCUUUCAUUUAUAAAUUGAAAUAAGUCGUAACAAAGUAGAGGUACUGGAAAGUGUUUCUAGAAAGAC